UUAAGGUUUCGUAACAAACAAGUAAUAAGAUUAAUUAAAGAUUUCAGAUGAUUAAAAUGCUAGCCUAGGGUGGUUUGGUCGGGUGUUAAACAAGUGUGAGCCAAACAAUUAUUCAAGUUCGAUUAAAGACCAGUCUAGAACUCGGAUCACUUAAGAUAGAUCAGCCCACUAUCGUGGUGCUUCACCUUUUGUCAAUCGAUCUCAGUACCUAAACUGUCGUUUGGACUGAGAUGCGAUGACAAACAUUAAGAUCAAGUCCGAUAUGUUCACAAAACACCCUAACAUCUACUUUCGCUAGGUUAGGGAUAUGAUGCUCAUUUAAGUUAUGUCUAGC
rnacentral:lncRNA from 1 species